CAGUCGCCGCGGUAAUACGAGGGGAGCUAGCGUUGUUCGGAAUUACUGGGCGUAAAGCGCGCGUAGGCGGCUUUUUAAGUCAGAGGUGAAAGCCCGGGGCUCAACCCCGGAAUUGCCUUUGAAACUGGAAAGCUAGAAUCUUGGAGAGGUCAGUGGAAUUCCGAGUGUAGAGGUGAAAUUCGUAGAUAUUCGGAAGAACACCAGUGGCGAAGGCGACUGACUGGACAAGUAUUGACGCUGAGGUGCGAAAGCGUGGGGAGCAAACAGGAUUAGAUACCCGCGUAGUCCCUGUCUCUUAUAC
rnacentral:rRNA from 1 species